GGGGCUGACUUGGAUUUCGACAGAUUUCUUGUCGCACAGAUAGCAUGCCAAGUGCUGCUUGUAAAACAGCAACAAAAAUAACUGUAAACAACACAGAUUACGCUCCAGCUUACGCUAAAGCUGCGUGAGUUAAUCUCCUUUUGGAGCUGGACUGAUUAGAAUUUCUAGCGUUUUAAUCACUCCAUAACCUUAAGCUAGACGCUUUUAAAAGGUGGUUCGCCUUUUAAACUAAGAAACAAGAACUCUUGAAACUACCUCAAGGUUUUAGAAAGUUGGACCAGAGCUAGUUUUAAGGCUAAAAAAUUAACCAAUUUUCUAAGCAUUGUAGAAGUUUGUGUUUAGGACAAGAUUUUUGGACUGGGGUUCGAUUCCCCACAGCUCCACCA
rnacentral:tmRNA from 1 species